CUCAGAUUGAACGCUGGCGGUAUGCUUAACACAUGCAAGUCGAACGGUAGCAGGCCUUCGGGCGCUGACGAGUGGCGGACGGGUGAGUAACGCGUAGGAAUCUGCCUCAUAGUGGGGGACAACGUGGGGAAACUCACGCUAAUACCGCAUACGCCCUACGGGGAAAGCGGGGAGUCUUCGGACCUCGCGCUAUGAGAUGAGCCUGCGUUAGAUUAGCUAGUUGGUAGGGUAAAGGCCUACCAAGGCGACGAUCUAUAGCUGGUCUGAGAGGACGAUCAGCCACACUGGGACUGAGACACGGCCCAGACUCCUACGGGGAGGCAGCAGUGGGGAAUAUUGGACAAUGGGCGCAAGCCUGAUCCAGCAAUACCGCGUGUGUGAAGAAGGCCUUAGGGUUGUAAAGCACUUUCAAUUGGGAGGAAACCUGUCGGUCAAUACCCGGCAGCUUGACAUUACCUUUAGAAGAAGCACCGGCUAACUCCGUGCAGCAGCCGCGGUAAAUACGGAGGGUGCAAG
rnacentral:rRNA from 1 species